rnacentral:lncRNA from 13 species
AUGUACCCCCUUUCCAGACACCACCCUGGCCCAGCAAGGGAUUGGAGCUCUGCCCCAGGCUGCAAGGCGUCAGAGAGGGCAGCGGGGGUGGCUGUGGGAGCAGUGAUGGCGGCAGUCGGCUCCUUGUCCCCAUGUCCCCAAGGCAGCCAACUGUAUCACCUCCACCCUCACACUGCCUGGCAGGACAGGAUCCCCGCUCCUGAGACUUUGCUGCAGCCUAGGCCUCGCUCCCUGUGCUGUCUCAGAGGUCUCCAGCACCCCUUCAAGGUGCAGCCUGCAUUGGUAGGACUGGCCCUGGGACCAGUGGGUUCCUUCGAGAUUGACCUGGGCCAGCAUGCCACCUGCCACACUCCCACACACUCUCUUGUGCACACACUAUCAUGCCCAGGCAGACUCCCACACACCUGCAUACACCUGUGCACACUGCCAAAUAUAGGCACACACACUCUCAUGCCCGUGGACACCCGACAUGCCCUCACACACCUGCACACACUCCCAUACUCGCACACAUGCCGGCACACACUCCUGCAUGCCUGCAGACACUAUGACACACAUGCACACCAUCACACGUGGGCACACUCUCUUACACCCACACACGUGCCUGUGCACACUCGCACAACCGUGCACUCCCCUGCACUCAUACAUGAUUGUGCACACCCCCACACCUGUGGACACACCUGCACACCCCUGAAUUUGCUCACACCCACACAAUCUUGCAUUGUCUUGCAUACCUGCACACAUCCUUGCACAUCCAUGCAUGCUCUCUCACACUCCCACGUUUGUGUGCACCGCCAUGCACACUCCCGCACCUCCACACACACUCCUGCAUGCCGAAGGACACUACUACACACUUAUGCACACCACCACACUUGGGCGCACACCCUCUCACACCCGCACAUGCCUGCACAUGCUCUCACAUGCCCUCUCACACUUCUACAUGCCCGUGCAUGCCCCUGCACACUAGCACACCUGUAUACACUCCCGUAUACCCACGCAUGUCUGUGCAGGCUGCCACACAUACGCACGCACACCGUGCACCUGCACAUGCCCUCACACACUCCCACACUUGCACACACACUUGUACAUGACCAUGCACACUCCCACACUCUACAUUCCUGGGACAAGGCACAGCCGGCAUUCACAGGACAGGCCCUGGAAGGGGCAUGUUCAUGCGGGAUUGGCCGGGGCAUCAUGCCAACUGCACCUCUUCCUCUGACUCUGGUGAUGCUUCCUCAAGGAAAGCCAGGAGAAGCCCUGAUCUCAGGGCCCUGA